rnacentral:rRNA from 1 species
GACGAACGCUGGCGGCGUGCCUAAUACAUGCAAGUCGAGCGAAUCAGAUGGGAGCUUGCUCCCGGAUGAUUAGCGGCGGACGGGUGAGUAACACGUGGGCAACCUGCCCGUAAGAUUGGGAUAACUCCGGGAAACCGGUGCUAAUACCGAAUAGUUUCUGACACCUCAUGGUGUCAGAGGGAAAGUUGGCUUCGGCUAACACUUACGGAUGGGCCCGCGGCGCAUUAGCUAGUUGGUGAGGUAACGGCUCACCAAGGCGACGAUGCGUAGCCGACCUGAGAGGGUGAUCGGCCACACUGGGACUGAGACACGGCCCAGACUCCUACGGGAGGCAGCAGUAGGGAAUCUUCCGCAAUGGACGAAAGUCUGACGGAGCAACGCCGCGUGAGCGAAGAAGGCCUUCGGGUCGUAAAGCUCUGUUGUCAGGGAAGAACAAGUGCCAUUCGAAUAGGCUGGCACCUUGACGGUACCUGACCAGAAAGCCACGGCUAACUACGUGCCAGCAGCCGCGGUAACAC